rnacentral:rRNA from 1 species
AGCGAACGCUGGCGGCAGGCCUAACACAUGCAAGUCGAACGAACUCUUCGGAGUUAGUGGCGGACGGGUGAGUAACACGUGGGAACGUGCCUUUAGGUUCGGAAUAACUCAGGGAAACUUGUGCUAAUACCGAAUGUGCCCUUCGGGGGAAAGAUUUAUCGCCUUUAGAGCGGCCCGCGUCUGAUUAGCUAGUUGGUGAGGUAAAGGCUCACCAAGGCGACGAUCAGUAGCUGGUCUGAGAGGAUGAUCAGCCACAUUGGGACUGAGACACGGCCCAAACUCCUACGGGAGGCAGCAGUGGGGAAUCUUGCGCAAUGGGCGAAAGCCUGACGCAGCCAUGCCGCGUGAAUGAUGAAGGUCUUAGGAUUGUAUAAUUCUUUCACCGGGGACGAUAAUGACGGUACCCGGAGAAGAAGCCCCGGCUAACUUCGUG